GGAAUGCUACGUAAACUACAUCACUCACUACACCAGCCACUACACGCCCCAAAACAACGUAGGGUAAGAGAAGGAGAAGGAGAAGAAGAAGAGGAGGAGGGGGACACCACAGCCAACCCAAACCACAGCCAACCACCACCGCCGAAGAAACCAACGAAGAACACGCCUCCACGAUCGCCGACCACCACCACCAACGUAUGCCGAUGAGCUUCGAACCACAAUCACUGGUAUCGAUUUCGAACGCUCAAAAAGGUCUCGACCACCACCAUCGCCGCCAUACGCCGACAAAGAUUUUUAGAAGAAUCCUACCAAAGAUCAAGAACAAGGAGUACCACGACACCACUUUGAAUGGUGCUAUGCAAGAGAGAGGGAGAGCACAAAGCAGUUCCACAACUCCAAAAUCCAGUUCCGCUUGGUGUGUGGAGCAUCCAGCCAAGAAGAGAUGCUAGCUACACUUAGGAUUUUUCUUUUUCAUUUUGCUUGUAAUAUAGCUUAGGGUAGACGAUGAUGAUGAUGUUCGGCUCAUGGCCUUUGCUCCAAUUUGACAAUGUUUCAUGGCUUGUUUAAAAAGACAAGUUUGUACUUCAUUUUUGUUGCUGUAUUGGUUUCAGAGUGGUAUAUUUUGAGAUAAUGAGUAGUACAUUAUGAAAUUCAAAUA